rnacentral:rRNA from 1 species
AUGGGGAUGCUUCCCUCACCACCGAGGCAGCUAAGCAUCGUCAAGGGGGUGAAGGAGGAGGAUCAGUUGUUGCACUCUGUCAAGGAGGAGAAUGUUGAUGAUCUUUCGGAUGCAAGUUCAUAUCCAUCUGUUGACCUUGAGGCCGAGGAUAGCGAUGCAUCGAUGGAAGUGGAGGAAGAGCAGCCAUAUGAGGCCCGCCUCAAUGUAGAGGAGGAGGAGGAGGAGGCCAAGGGGAGAGAAGCUGUGAGACUUGUUUCUGAUCCAGUGACAAAGUUUAACAAGUUUGAUGAGCUGCUGACCCAGGUCCAGCUCUAUUCGGAAUUUAUACUUGAGAAGGUGCUUGAAGGAUAUAGCAAUUAUAGCUCUGCUUAUAAUGCUACUCUCACAGAAGAAGAAAUGUGGGCAAAAGAGCAGGCCGAGCUUGUUCCAUUGGUGACUGGUGGGAAGUUAAAGCCUUACCAGAUUGAGGGUGUGAAGUGGCUAAUGUCGCUUUGGUGUAACGGGCUAAAUGGGAUACUAGCAGAUCAAAUGAGUCUUGGGAAAACAAUCCAGACAAUUGGAUUUCUUGCUCAUCUCAAAGGGAAUGGUCUGCAUGGUCCAUACAUGAUCAUUGCCCCUGUUCUCGCUCUAUCAAACUGGGUGGAUGAGAUCUCAAGGCUUGUUCCAUCUAUGGCAUGUCUGAUUUACUAUGGAGAUAAAUUGGCUCGGUCAGAGAUUAGGAGAAAGUUGAUGCCCAAAACUGGUGGCCCUGAUUUUCCGAUAAUAGUGACUUCAUAUGAGAUGGCCAUGUCCGAUGCAAAAAUUCUUGCUCGGUACAGGUGGAAAUACAUUGUUUUUGAUGAGGGCCAUCAAUUGAACAACUUGGAAUGUGAAUUAUCGAGGAAGUUAAGGCGGCUACCAAUGGAUAAUGGACUCCUUUUGACUAGGACACCAUUUCAAAAUAACCUAGCAGAGUUGUGGUCGCUACUGAACUUUGCUAUGCCUAACAUAUUCUCAUCUCAUCAGGAAUUGGAAUCAUGGUCUGAUGAUUUUACUGGGAAAAGAGGUGAGGGACUACAAGAAGAAAGUAUAGUCAACAAAAGGGUCCUUGUUUCAAAGCUUAAUAGCACGUUGGAUCCAUUCCUUCUACAAGGGGAAGGUGCUAUGUGCUACAAGGCCAAAGCUGUUAAGAACAGGGAUGCAAUCCACCUCUCGGAAGACCACACGAAAAGAGAUGGUUUGAGGUCUGUUGGCCGGAAUUCUCAAGAGGCAGCAGCAGAGGUUGCUUCUGAAAAUGGCGGUGAAGGCACUCCUAACAUGCCAUCCACUCGACUGGGGCUGGAAGGUAAGACGGCUAAGAGGCCACGAACAGAUGAUGCAGUUCUCUCCCUGCUUGGAGAAAUCAAUGGCACAGUUCAAGCUUCUUUGAGGCCAGCUGAGCAUGUGCAGGUGCCGAAGGCACCUUCCCCUGCAGAAAUCUUGGAGGCCCUCAGAGAGAUCCCCGACUUGGCCCGUGCUGACCUUCUGAGAGCCUACAGCAGUCUGAUCCGUGAUGAUCGCCAGUUUAGAUCACUUGUUGCGCUCCCAAUUGACAUGAGGAAGGACUGGCUGCUCAUGGAAGUUGGGAACAAGUGA